ensembl:lncRNA
AUUUUCCAAUAUGAAAAACCAUGGUGGAGCGAAUUCGCCACCUGUUGAAUUUUUAAAGUGUUACAAUAGGCAAUCGCCAUAUGGCAGUUGCAAUACACUUUGCACGAAUUUACGCCGAAUUGGGUGGUAUUGGCCAAUGUGUAUAUGGUUUGUCCGAUGCCAAUGACUUCCCAUGCAUUUUUGUCCACUUCAGGCAUCUUCCCUUUUGCUGCACUGAAAGUAAAGGGGCUGAAUAAUUUUGCACGCCCAAUUUUUCAGUUUUUGAUUUGUUAAAAAAGUUUGAAAUAUCC